AGCGAACGCUGGCGGCGUGCUUAACACAUGCAAGUCGAACGCGAAAGGGACUUCGGUCCUGAGUAAAGUGGCGCACGGGUGAGUAACGCGUAGAUAACCUGUCUUCAUGUCUGGAAUAAUACGCCGAAAGGGGUACUAAUACCGGAUAUUCUUGCUUUUCAUAAGUUAUGCAAGCAAAGGUGGCCUCUGCAUAUGCUACUGCAUGAAGAGGGGUCUGCGUACCAUUAGCUAGUAGGUGGGGUAAUGGCCUACCUAGGCGACGAUGGUUAUCGGGUCUGAGAGGAUGAUCCGCCACACUGGCACUGGAACACGGGCCAGACUCCUACGGGAGGCAGCAGUGAGGAAUAUUGCGCAAUGGGGGAAACCCUGACGCAGCGACGCCGCGUGAGUGAGGAAGGCCUUCGGGUCGUAAAGCUCUGUCAAGAGGAAAGAAGUGUACAAUGGCUAAUACCUGUUGUAUUUGACGGUACCUCUAAAGGAAGCACCGGCUAACUCCGUGCCAGCCGCCGC
rnacentral:rRNA from 1 species